UAGGGAAUCUUCGGCAAUGGACGCAAGUCUGACCGAGCAACGCCGCGUGAGUGAUGAAGGUUUUCGGAUCGUAAAACUCUGUUGUUAGAGAAGAACAAGAGAAGUAGUAACUGGCUUCUCCUUGACGGUAUCUAACCAGAAAGCCACGGCUAACUACGUGCCAGCAGCCGCGGUAAUACGUAGGUGGCAAGCGUUGUCCGGAUUUAUUGGGCGUAAAGCGAGCGCAGGCGGUCUUUUAAGUCUGAUGUGAAAGCCCACGGCUUAACCGUGGAGGGUCAUUGGAAACUGGGAGACUUGAGUGCAGAAGAGGAAAGUGGAACUCCAUGUGUAGCGGUGGAAUGCGUAGAUAUAUGGAAGAACACCAGUGGCGAAGGCGGCUUUCUGGUCUGUAACUGACGCUGAGGCUCGAAAGCGUGGGGAGCAAAC
rnacentral:rRNA from 1 species